GUAUCUUCCAUAGCACCCAUGGUUUUUUACCCAUUUUUCAUGUCCAUCUUUCAUCUGGGUGUAUUUUUGUUUUAAAUGCAUAUAGAUUCUGUAAUGUAUUUGACUAAAAAAAAGAGAGAACGUGGGCUACAGGAGAAACAUGCUGCAUUGCCCAGGGCAGUAUGGGUAAUAAAGUCAUUAAUUCAGCUGAUUAAGCUGGCCUUCGGGUUAAAGAAAAAUCAUAUCCGUCUCCUUCUCAGAUGUAACUGGGGACGCACAGAAGAGGCGAAAAUGCCAGCUAAUUAGCAGACGAAAAGAGAGGGAAUGAGCACGGAGGGAGGGAACAACGGAUUGGGGGACAGAGAGGUGCUUCUACUGAACUCUUAAUGAGACAUCUUUGGGGGUGAGGGGGUGACACGCUCAUCUAACCACACACACACGCGCACACACAAACACACACACACACACACACACACACACACACACACACACACACACACACACACACAUCUCAAAGACUGCACUUCCUCAGAGCCGCACAAUGCUAACUAAUGAUCCGCAACUAGAGCGAGAGCGAGAGGGGUAAAAUGUCAGUUGAUGCACGGUUUUAAUGAGCUUGUUGUGAAAGGCGAGCAUGGCGAGGGAAAGAAAAUUACAGCGAAAGGACUGACCCAUCAUGCUUUGCUUGAAGACUCCAAAUUGCCACAGGGUUUGCUUUAUUUCCUCGUUUAAUAGAGGCAACCCGUAUCUCUCGAGAGGGCUUUGUGGAAGAUUGCUUCAUGCCAUUUUCUCUCAGAGGACAAGAGAAAUCACAGUGAUAUUCUGUCCAGACUGUUUGGUGAUGACACACUGGUACACACGUCACCCAUCCUUAAGAGGGCCCUUGUGUCAUGAAAAUAGACUUGAGAGAUCCUCUCAGGCAACACUACCCCCUGUUGAGGUUCUGUGAGGUAAGCGUUGAUAUUAAGAAGCAUAAAAUCUGUUUCUUGGACUCAGCUUCUCUUACACUAGAAGCACAAUCACUGCUGACAGCACAGAAAGCAAAUUACAAUCUAAACAUCCAUCAUUUAGCAGUGACAGCAUGAAAAAAGACACUAACUUAAAGCCAUUUUUAUGACAAAAUGUAAUUAAAUAUUUGUAUU
ensembl:lncRNA